UCACUUACAAGGAGACCCCACAUGACGAUCAUGUGACACAUUUGAGACGCACAUGUGACUUAGUAAAAGUUUGUCAUGUGACAAACAGAAAGAGAGGCGUAAUUCUGCUUACAUAUAAAUUCAAGACAACGUGCGAUUUACUUUAGUUUGGUGGAAAUAACCGAGGUUACACAGACAACGAAGACGAGUAUCUGAUCCACAACCGACAUAAUCUAAGUGAUUGACAAACGAUUACUGUUGAAGCACAAUAAAGGUGGAAAACUGUUCGCAUAACCGUAUGCACACAUUUUCACAAAGUGCCACGAUUCACUUCGAACUAUAAAUAAGUAUGGCCGAUAUAGACGAAGAAGUUUUAGAAGAUAUCGCAAAUCUCAAUAUCGAACCUUUGGUAUCUUUAAAUGAUUUUGAAGAGUGUUUUGCUCAUGCAUGUAGAUAUGAUGUUACGGAACCCCCAUGGCCAAGAAGGACAAUAUUAAUUUACAAUCUUGGAAACAACUGGACGAGACCCGACAACAUUCCCGGUAGACACGCCGAGCUCGUACUAAUCGACCAAAUACAGAGAGAGUUAAAUGCCAGGAAUGCGGAUACAGACCCGGUUGAAACAGUCAAUAUCGAGGUCUACAUCAGCUACUCACCGUGUCGAAAUUGUUCAAAUGAGCUAAUACAGAUCUUUGGAGCAUACCAAAAAAGCUUCAAUCUUGUCUUUAAAAUUUACUACAGUAACCUCUGUUUAUAUCCCCAGGAACGAGACGGUCUCGUUAAUCUCCUUAACAGGGGCGUUGAUUUACAGCCAGUAAUCGGAGAAGACAUGUGGAAAGACUUCCUACUGGCUAACGGUAAUCCGAAUGAUGAGGCAUUUUUGGCUGUUGUAAAUUCGGAUGGAAGGAUACAAAGGGAAACAAGGGAUCAAGAGCUUUUUGCGGAAAUACAGGCUUUAACACAGCUUUGAAAUGCUUGAGAGACAUUAAAAGAUACACAGACUAGUGCCAAUUAGGGCCUUCCCAUAAACUGUGAAAACAUGCUUUGAUUGCUACAGUAAGUGACAGAUUCCUGUUAAUUGUGGUUCAAUAUAAAAAAAGUACUUCUUCAAUGAUCCCUCAUUAUCAAUUCUGACUUUAAAGUUUAAUGAUAUUGUAAUUAAUGAACUUUGAAGUCUGCAGUAGAAUUUUAUAUAUCAUACAGUGACAAUAUGUUACUUCUAUUUCAAUAUCUAACAAACUCACUGAAACCAACAGAUAUAGGAUAUUUUUACUUUAUUAAUACUUGCUUUAAAUUAAUAGCAAGUUACCUCCUUUUGUUUGAGUGACAUGAAAGGGCAGAUUUGCUUCAUUGUCAAUAUCAGAGACAUAACACUGUAUGCAUUUUAUGCACUGCUAAUCAAAUAGAUAUAUCAAUAGAUAAGUGAAAUACUAUGGUUACUACAAUAGUAAUAAAACUUAAGUAACAGAUGUGAUACACUGAGAUAAAGAGAUUGCCUUAGUCCUUAUGUAUUUGAGGCCGUUUCCAUAAAUAAUAAAGAAUUAUUUCUUAUAGCUUUCAAGAUUUUUUUUUACAAUAAAUUACUUUAAAAAAACAACAACAUAUCAAUUACAGAAUAAUGAUUGAUUAAAUAUCUUAUUUAAUUAAAAUCUUCUUUUGUGAUGUUUAAAUUAUAUAUAUAAUUGUAUAUUCUUGAAAAAAGUAUUUAUGAUUUAGAUGCAUAUUAUAACAUUAUGGUGAAAUAAAAAUAAACGUAUAUGAAUUAAUAUUGUGUUUUGUUUAUACUAAAUAAUUAUUGUAUUUAUCUUUAUUUUAUUUUGUUUUCAAAGUUUUUUCUGUCUGUAUUAUGUAUGAUUUAGAUGCAUAUUAUUACAUUAUGGUGAAAUAAAAAUAAAUGUAUAUGAAUUAA